AAGUCGUAACAAGGUUUCCGUAGGUGAACCUGCGGAAGGAUCAUUAAAGAGACGAGGGUCUAACCGGCCCGAACCUCCACCCUGUGUCUACCUCACUCUGUUGCUCUGGCGGGACGCUGCAAAUGUGUGCCCGCCAGAGGAUUAUCAACUCUGAUGUUACCGUGCAGUCUGAGUCAUUAUGAAUAAAACAAAACUUUCAACAACGGAUCUCUUGGUUCUGGCAUCGAUGAAGAACGCAGCGAAAUGCGAUAAGUAAUGUGAAUUGCAGAAUUCAGUGAAUCAUCGAGUUUUUGAACGCACAUUGCGCCCUCUGGUAUUCCGGAGGGCAUGCCUGUUCGAGCGUCAUUAUCCAACUCAAGCAUUGCGCUUGGUCUUGGGAGUCAGCCUGGCCGAAAAGGGCUCUCCCGAAAAUGAGUGGUUGCAGAAAUGAACCCUGAGCGUAUUAACAUGACUCGCUUUUUGGGAACACUUUGUGCCAUCCAACGAAACGCGCUUUUGACCUCAAAGAUUAAAAGCCCCGAAAUGAUUGACCUCGGAUCAGGUAGGGAUACCCGCUGAACUUAAGCAUAUCAAUAAGCGGAGGAAAAGAAACCAACAGGGAUUGCCUCAGUAACGGCGAGUGAAGCGGCAAGUGCUCAAAUUUGAAAUCCGGCUUUGGCCUGAGUUGUAAUUUGGAGAGGAUGCUUCGGAAGCGGUCCAGUCUAAGUUCCUUGGAACAGGACGUCAUAGAGGGUGAGAAUCCCGUAUGUGACUGGGUGCCAACUCCAUGUGAAGCUCCUUCGACGAGUCGAGUUGUUUGGGAAUGCAGCUCAAAAUGGGUGGUAAAUUUCAUCUAAAGCUAAAUACCGGCCAGAGACCGAUAGCGCACAAGUAGAGUGAUCGAAAGAUGAAAAGCACUUUGGAAAGAGAGUUAAACAGUACGUGAAAUUGUUGAAAGGGAAGCGCUUGCCAUCAGACUUGCCUGGGGGUGAUCAACCGUCCUUCGGGGCGGUGCACUGGCCCCCGGUCAGGCCAGCAUCGGUUUUGGCGGUUGGACAAAUUCCCAGGGAAUGUGGCUCUUCGGAGUGUUAUAGCCCUGGAAUCAAUACAACCCGCCGGGACCGAGGACCGCGCUUCGGCUAGGAUGCUGGCGUAAUGAUUGCAAGCGACC
rnacentral:rRNA from 1 species